rnacentral:rRNA from 1 species
UGGGGAAUAUUGCGCAAUGGACGAAAGUCUGACGCAGCAACGCCGCGUGAGUGAUGAAGGCCUUCGGGUUGUAAAACUCUGUCUUCAGGGACGAUAAUGACGGUACCUGAGGAGGAAGCCACGGCUAACUACGUGCCAGCAGCCGCGGUAAUACGUAGGUGGCAAGCGUUGUCCGGAUUUACUGGGCGUAAAGGGUGUCUAGGCGGAAAGAUAAGUCAGAUGUGAAAUCUCGGGGCUCAACCCCGAAACUGCAUUUGAAACUGUCUAUCUAGAGUGCAGGAGAGGAGAGUGGAAUUCCUAGUGUAACGGUGAAAUGUGUAGAUAUUAGGAAGAACACCAGUGGCGAAGGCGACUCUCUGGACUGUUACUGACGCUGAAGCACGAAAGCAUGGGGAGCAAACAGGAUUAGAUACCCCCGUAGUCC